rnacentral:rRNA from 1 species
CCUACGGGAGGCAGCAGUGGGGAAUAUUGGGCAAUGGGCGCAAGCCUGACCCAGCAACGCCGCGUGAAGGAAGAAGGCUUUCGGGUUGUAAAGUUCUUUUCUCAGGGACGAAGCAAGUGACGGUACCUGAGGAAUAAGCCACGGCUAACUACGUGCCAGCAGCCGCGGUAAUACGUAGGAGGCAAGCGUUAUCCGGAUUGACUGGGUGUAAAGGGCGUGUAGGCGGGAAAGCAAGUCGGAUGUGAAAACCAGGGGCUCAACCUGUGGCCUGCAUUUGAAACUGUUUUUCUUGAGUGCUGGAGAGGCAGACGGAAUUCCUAGUGUAGCGGUGAAAUGCGUAGAUAUUAGGAGGAACACCAGUGGCGAAGGCGAUCUGCUGGACAGCAACUGACGCUGAGGCGCGAAAGCGUGGGGAGCAAACAGGAUUAGAUACCCGGGUAGUC